CGCAGAGUGGAAAAAAGUUUAGUUCCUCAAAGAGAACUCAGAAUUAUGCCGAAAGUGUAAACCAAAACCAAAAGUUGUACGGACAGCCGGGAUGAGACCCUGGAUGUGACCUUGAUGAUGCGCAGACACUGCUGAUGUCAAGGCUGCCCCCUGCUCGACAAAGUGGACCAAAGAGGGGAGGGGGCACUGCUGUGACCGCCCCUCCACAGGAAAUGAAGUCCGAAGAUUUUGACCCACGAGCUGCAGAAGUGGGCCUCGACUGGUGAGAUCUGUUAGACCGGAGCCCUUGACAGCCCAAGACUCGUCGUGUUGUUGAGAUAAAACCGAAAACCAUCGCCCGCGUUCAUCAGGAGUGUCGGCACGGCAACGGAAAAGCACGUCCACAGACGGAAGCGGAUAUGGAAGCCGUCCUCACUGCGGAUCUCAAAGAUGAUGCCCUUCUUGGGUUUGCCGUCUUUGCUGCCGCCAUCCUCAAGACCAAUGGUAGAACCUUUGUUUUCUUUUGCCGCCUUUCCUGUUAGAUCUUCUGAAC